GCCUACGGCCAUACCACCCUGACAACGCCUGAUCUCGUCUGAUCUCGGAAGCUAAGCAGGGUCGGGCCCGGUUAGUGCUUGGAUGGGAGACCACCUGGGAUAAGAACAGUUUAAUAAUGGCA
rnacentral:rRNA from 1 species